rnacentral:rRNA from 1 species
GACGAACGCUGGCGGCGUGCCUAAUACAUGCAAGUCGAACACAGUGGGGACGGGUGAGUAACACGUGGGUAACCUCCCAUCAGAGGGGAUAACACUUGGAAACAGGUGCUAAACCGAUACUGAUGGAUGGACCCGCGGUUCAUUAGCUGGUUGGUGAGGUAACGGCUCACCAAGGCCACGAUGCAUAGCCGACCGCAGAGGGUGAGCAGCAGCACGGGGACUGGGGAACGGCCCAGACUCCUACGGGAGGCAGCAGUAAGAAAUGUGCGGCAAUGGACGAAAGGCUGACCGAGCAACGCCGCGUGAGUGAAGAAGGUUUUCGGAUCGUAAAACUCUGUUGUUAGAGAAGCGGUAUCUAACCAGAAAGCCACGGCUAACUACGUGCCAGCAGCCGCGGUAAUAC